rnacentral:rRNA from 1 species
UACGUAGGGUCCGAGCGUUGUCCGGAAUUAUUGGGCGUAAAGAGCUCGUAGGCGGUUUGUCGCGUCUGCUGUGAAAUCCCGAGGCUCAACCUCGGGUCUGCAGUGGGUACGGGCAGACUGGAGUGCGGUAGGGGAGAAUGGAAUUCCUGGUGUAGCGGUGGAAUGCGCAGAUAUCAGGAAGAACACCCGUGGCUAAGGCGGCUCUCUAGUACGGUACUGACGCUGAGACGCGAAAGCGUGGGGAGCGAACAGG